UACAGAGGGUGCGAGCGUUAAUCGGAAUUACUGGGCGUAAAGAGCGUGUAGGCGGCCAUGUAGGUCCGGUGUGAAAACUCGAGGCUUAACCUCGAGAUGUCAUCGGAAACCAUUUGGCUAGAGUCCGGAAGAGGCGAGUGGAAUUCCUGGUGUAGCGGUGGAAUGCGCAGAUAUCAGGAGGAACACCGGUGGCGAAGGCGGGUCUCUGGGCAGUAACUGACGCUGAGGAGCGAAAGCGUGGGGAGCGAACAGG
rnacentral:rRNA from 1 species